UUCCAAACCUAUCAAAUUAAAAACUACCCCUUAAAUGAAUCUCAAAGUUAAACCAAUCUGAAGAGUUAGCAUAUUUGUUUAAUUUUAGGAUUUUUACCACUAAAAAAUAGACCAUAUUUAUUUAUUUAUUCUAAACAUAUAAUGUUCUUCAUUAUGUUUAUUUUAAAAGUAUGAUACAUUGAGAACUAUGUCUAGAUACUCAUGUUGCAACAGAAGAAAGGAUGGGGGAAAAACUGUAAUUGUAAUGUAUACAUGUAAGGAUAACCUGACCCACUUGCUGUACAGUGGGAAAAUAAAAAAAAUUUAAAAAAAAAAUGUAAAGGAGUGAAAUCUAAAACAUAAAUUGCCAGAGUUCCCGUUGUGGCUCAGUGAUUUACCAACCCAAGUAGUAUUCAUGAGGAUGCAGGUUCGAUCCCUGGCCCCACUCAGUGGGUUAAGGUCCAGUGUUUCUGUGAACUGUGGUGUAGGUUGCAGGCGUGGCUCAGAUCUGGCAUUGCUGUGAUUGUAGCAUAGUCUGGCAGCUGCAGCUCCAAUUCUACCCCUAGCCCGGGAACCUCCGUAUGCCGCAGGUAUGGCCCUAAAGAGCAAAAAUAACUAAAUAAAAUAAAAUAAAACAUGAAUUGACCGUCAUAAAUGCCUGAAAUGUAAUUCUUUGAAGCACAUGCUUUCUCUAGUAAAAAAUAAAGUUUCAUGGGUAUAUAAUUUUCCAGCAAUAUAAAAGUGAAUAUAUUAAAGUGUGAGCUUCUCUAAUACUUAUAACCAAGUAGAUACUAAAAUAUUAUGCAGGCCAGUUUCGUGAGAUGUGUAGAACUAGCAUCAGCUAAAGAGUUUCAGGUUUUCUUUUAGUGGCCCAGAUAAAAAAUGUUAAAUUAAUUUCCUUGAAUAAUUUGGUAAAGUUGAUGGUAGGUAUUCAGCACCAUGGCGAAAGAGGGGGAGCAGCUCUCAAAAUCUAGUAGAUAGUAUCCAGAUCCUAAAUUUAUGUCACCAAAUGACUCACAGAAGACUUAAUGAUUUAGCUGUUCUCAUCCCUGAGCCAUAUAUGAUAAAAGCUUUGAUUGUGGAUUAUGGAAAUUAAAUAGACUCAAUAUAAAGUUUGUACUGUUUGGGAAAUGGAAUGGGCUGCAUUGUAAACUAAUGAGCUUUCCAUCUUUUGAAGCGUUUAAGUAAAGGCUCAAUGACUACUUUUCAAUAAUUUGAUGGAAGGAAUUCUUACAUUUGGGAGGAAUUAGACUAAAGAAUCUUCCAUACCUAGUUCAAUUCUAGAGUUCUAAAAUUAAAGGAUGUGAAGAAAUAGAGUUGAAGAUUAAGUGAUGAUAAUAGCACAUGGCUAUUGUAUAAUUAGAUGGACUUUACAAAGAAAGACUCAUAAAUGGGUAUUUGGAAGGAAUCUGAAAAAGAAAGGCAUGCCAUGGUAUUUUAAGUAGACAGUGAUAAACAACAAAAUGAUGUACAUACAUCUCUUCUAGUAUUAGAAGUUGUAAGAGAAAGGAACCUACUCUAAAAUGCUCAGCAAAGAGAGCAUAAGGAAAAUGAAAAAGGGAGCCUUUUUAAAGACUGAGAACUCAAAUGGAUUUUAAGAGUGCUAGAAAUAGAAACCAAAGGAUUUUUAUAUCUGCAUUACUUACAGGAAGGGAACAAAACAAGUAGGAAAACAAAACUGUAGUUUAUUGGAGCUAGAUAGUCGAUAGACUUUUGAAAAGGUUCUGUUUGACUUAGGAAGGACACUUAAUGAGUAGUUUCUACAAGGAAAGGAUGUGGCCCCAGCACAUUGUGAGCAAGAUGGUCUUUGCACACAUCUUUUAACAGACAAAUAAAAAAGGGAGAAUUGGGGAAGAAAAAGACCCAGGAGUCAAGCUAGGAUACAAUGGAAAAGUCCUUGGGAGGGUUAACAGUAGAAACAGAAGGACUUUGUUGAGUGAACGUGGUAGAAAUCCUAUCUUCAAGAAAUGUAUUAAGUUCUCCCCACUUCUGUUGGAAGAGCAUAAUAAUUGUAUGGGGAUAAAAAAGCACAAUGUGAAUAUGGAAUGAUGAGAGCCCCUGACCAAUACGUGGCUUUGGGACAGUUAUUGAAUUUCUCAAGAUCUCUCAUUGUUUCAGAUAUUAGGAAGGUAGAUUUUUUCCAGCUCUGAGAUUCUCUCCUGGUGCCUCAUUAAGACUGAAUUAGGUACACACUCCAUAACCUAAAAACUCAGACAAAAUGAUUUAGUUUGCACCACCUGGUUUAUUGUGGCCUAUAGAUAAUAAGUAACAGGUAGAAAACGGAUAAUUUUGUGACGAUUCCAAAGUGUGAAAGUUAUGGAGAAAUCUCCUGCAUGGGCAGAUGAGAACUGAAGAUACCAGCGAUGCUGACGAAAUGAAGUGUGCUGCUAGAAAAAGUACAGCUGAACCCCUCCAUUUGAGUUUAAAGAAAUGACUGGCUGUCUAAAGAAGACAUCCCAGAGAGAACUGGCAGUGUUGCCUCAAGAACAGAGAACAGGAGUUCCCGUCGUGGCGCAGUGGUUAACGAACCCUACUGGGAACCAUGAGGUUGCGGGUUCGAUCCCUGCCCUUGCUCAGUGGGUUAACGAUGAUCCGGCGUUGCCGUGAGCUGUGGUGUAGGCUGCAGACGCGGCUCGGAUCCAGCGUUGCUGUGGCUCUGGCGUAGGCUGGUGGCUACAGCUCCAAUUCGACCCCUAGCCUGGGAACCUCCAUAUGCUGCGAGAGCGGCCCAAGAAAAUGGCAAAAAG
rnacentral:lncRNA from 1 species